CUUCCUACCGGGCGCAGCAGUGAGGAAUAUUGGUCAAUGGGCGCAAGCCUGAACCAGCCAAGUCGCGUGAGGGAAGACGGUCCUAUGGAUUGUAAACCUCUUUUGCCGGGGAGCAAUGCAGGCCUUGCGAGGCCUGAGGGAGAGUACCCGGAGAAAAAGCAUCGGCUAACUCCGUGCCAGCAGCCGCGGUAAUACGGAGGAUGCGAGCGUUAUCCGGAUUUAUUGGGUUUAAAGGGUGCGUAGGCGGAUUUUUAAGUCAGCGGUAAAAUGUCCGGGCUCAACCCGGGCCGGCCGUUGAAACUGGG
rnacentral:rRNA from 1 species